AGUGAACGCUGGCGGUAGGCUUAACACAUGCAAGUCGAACGGCAGCACAGUAAGAGCUUGCUCUUACGGGUGGCGAGUGGCGGACGGGUGAGGAAUACAUCGGAAUCUACUUUUUCGUGGGGGAUAACGUAGGGAAACUUACGCUAAUACCGCAUACGACCUACGGGUGAAAGCAGGGGAUCUUCGGACCUUGCGCGAUUGAAUGAGCCGAUGUCGGAUUAGCUAGUUGGCGGGGUAAAGGCCCACCAAGGCGACGAUCCGUAGCUGGUCUGAGAGGAUGUACAGCCACACUGGAACUGAGACACGGUCCAGACUCCUACGGGAGGCAGCAGUGGGGAAUAUUGGACGAUGGGCGCAAGCCUGAUCCAGCCAUACCGCGUGGGUGAAGAAGGCCUUCGGGUUGUAAAGCCCUUUUGUUGGGAAAGAAAAGCAGCAGGUUAAUACCACGCUGUUCUGACGGUACCCAAAGAAUAAGCACCGGCUAACUUCGUG
rnacentral:rRNA from 1 species